AUUGAACGCUGGCGGCAGGCCUAACACAUGCAAGUCGAACGAGUGGCGGACGGGUGAGUAAUGUCUGGGAAACUGCCCGAUGGAGCGGGAUAACUACUGGAAACGGUAGCUAAUACCACAUACCAUCGGAUGUGCCCAGUUGGGAUUAGCUAGUAGGUGGGGUAACGGCUCCCCUAGGCGACGAUCCCUAGCUGGUCUGAGAGGAUGACCAGCCACACUGGAACUGAGACACGGUCCAGACUCCUACGGGAGGCAGCAGUUGGGAAUAGUGCACAAUGGGCGAAAGCCUGAUGGAGCAAUGCCGCGUGUAUGAAGAAGGCCUUCGGGUUGUAAAGUACUUUCAGCGGGGAGGCGUUACUCAAAGAAGAAGCCUCGGCUAACUCCGUGCCAGCCGCCGCGGUAAUUC
rnacentral:rRNA from 1 species